rnacentral:tRNA from 1 species
GGAAAUGUGCCCGAAGCCUAAGGGUUACUUUGAUAGAGUAAAAUACAGAGGUUCAAACCCUCUCAUUUCCUA